rnacentral:misc_RNA from 1 species
AGCAUCGCGUACAUCCGGUUCCUGGCCUUGAGGCCCCGGUGGAAGGCCGUGCCGGGGACCUUGAGCGGCAGCGACGCGAACGACGACGAUAUCACCUUGAAGUUGGCCCGGAACUUCUCCUGCUCCUCGCCCUCCGGCUCCAGGCUCACCAGCAUGUUGGCGAUCACCUUGAGCGUGAACUGCAUGCCAUUGCCAUGCCAUCCAUCCCCAGUCAAAAUCUCUCUCGAGUCUCGAGAGAGAGAAGAACUGCUAGCUACUGCUUACCGACGAUGCCUCCUCCAGCACGAGGACCCUGCUGCGGCCGUGCCACGUGUCCAGCGUCUGCACGGCAAGGUCGUUGAUGAAGCCCAGGUACUUCUUGAGAGCGUCGACGGAGAGCGGCUCGCCGAUG